AUUGAACGCUGGCGGCAUGCUUUACACAUGCAAGUCGAACGGCAGCACGGGGGCAACCCUGGUGGCGAGUGGCGAACGGGUGAGUAAUGCAUCGGAACGUGCCCUGUCGUGGGGGAUAACACAUCGAAAGAUGUGCUAAUACCGCAUACGACCUGAGGGUGAAAGCGGGGGACCGUAAGGCCUCGCGCGAUAGGAGCGGCCGAUGUCUGAUUAGCUAGUUGGUGGGGUAAAGGCCUACCAAGGCGACGAUCAGUAGCUGGUCUGAGAGGACGACCAGGCACACGGGGACUGAGACACGGCCCAGACUCCUACGGGAGGCAGCAGUGGGGAAUUUUGGACAAUGGGGGCAACCCUGAUCCAGCCAUGCCGCGUGCGGGAAGAAGGCCUUCGGGUUGUAAACCGCUUUUGGCAGGAACGAAACGGUGCGGGCGAAUACCCUGUGCUAAUGACGGUACCUGCAGAAUAAGCACCGGCUAACUACGUGCCAGCCGCCGCAGUAAAAC
rnacentral:rRNA from 1 species